rnacentral:rRNA from 1 species
UACGUAGGGUGCAAGCGUUAAUCGGAAUUACUGGGCGUAAAGCGUGCGCAGGCGGUUUGUAAGUUUGUCGUGAAAUCCCCGGGCUCAACCUGGGAAUGGCGAUGAAGACUGCAAGGCUAGAAUCUGGCAGAGGGGGGUAGAAUUCCACGUGUAGCAGUGAAAUGCGUAGAGAUGUGGAGGAACACCGAUGGCGAAGGCAGCCCCCUGGGUCAAGAUUGACGCUCAUGCACGAAAGCGUGGGGAGCAAACAGGAUUACGAAACCGGGUA